rnacentral:rRNA from 1 species
UACAGGGGGUGCAACCGUUGCUCGGAAUUAUUGGGCGUAAAGCGCGCGUAGGCGGCCGCUUAAGUCGGAUGUGAAAGCCCCUGGCUCAACUGGGGAAGUGCACCCGAAACUGAGUGGCUUGAGUACUAAAGAGGGUCGCGGAAUUCCCGGUGUAGAGGUGAAAUUCAUAGAUAUCGGGAGGAACACCGGUGGCGAAGGCGGCGACCUGGGUAGAUACUGACGCUGAGGCGCGAAAGCGUGGGGAGCAAACAGG